UUAGAGUUUGAUCCUGGCUCAGGAUGAACGCUGGCGGCGUGCCUAAUACAUGCAAGUCGAGCGAACGGACGAGAAGCUUGCUUCUCUGAUGUUAGCGGCGGACGGGUGAGUAACACGUGGAUAACCUACCUAUAAGACUGGGAUAACUUCGGGAAACCGGAGCUAAUACCGGAUAAUAUUUUGAACCGCAUGGUUCAAAAGUGAAAGACGGUCUUGCUGUCACUUAUAGAUGGAUCCGCGCUGCAUUAGCUAGUUGGUAAGGUAACGGCUUACCAAGGCAACGAUGCAUAGCCGACCUGAGAGGGUGAUCGGCCACACUGGAACUGAGACACGGUCCAGACUCCUACGGGAGGCAGCAGUAGGGAAUCUUCCGCAAUGGGCGAAAGCCUGACGGAGCAACGCCGCGUGAGUGAUGAAGGUCUUCGGAUCGUAAAACUCUGUUAUUAGGGAAGAACAUAUGUGUAAGUAACUGUGCACAUCUUGACGGUACCUAAUCAGAAAGCCACGGCUAACUACGUGCCAGCAGCCGCGGUAAUACGUAGGUGGCAAGCGUUAUCCGGAAUUAUUGGGCGUAAAGCGCGCGUAGGCGGUUUUUUAAGUCUGAUGUGAAAGCCCACGGCUCAACCGUGGAGGGUCAUUGGAAACUGGAAAACUUGAGUGCAGAAGAGGAAAGUGGAAUUCCAUGUGUAGCGGUGAAAUGCGCAGAGAUAUGGAGGAACACCAGUGGCGAAGGCGACUUUCUGGUCUGUAACUGACGCUGAUGUGCGAAAGCGUGGGGAUCAAACAGGAUUAGAUACCCUGGUAGUCCACGCCGUAAACGAUGAGUGCUAAGUGUUAGGGGGUUUCCGCCCCUUAGUGCUGCAGCUAACGCAUUAAGCACUCCGCCUGGGGAGUACGACCGCAAGGUUGAAACUCAAAGGAAUUGACGGGGACCCGCACAAGCGGUGGAGCAUGUGGUUUAAUUCGAAGCAACGCGAAGAACCUUACCAAAUCUUGACAUCCUUUGACAACUCUAGAGAUAGAGCUUUCCCCUUCGGGGGACAAAGUGACAGGUGGUGCAUGGUUGUCGUCAGCUCGUGUCGUGAGAUGUUGGGUUAAGUCCCGCAACGAGCGCAACCCUUAAGCUUAGUUGCCAUCAUUAAGUUGGGCACUCUAAGUUGACUGCCGGUGACAAACCGGAGGAAGGUGGGGAUGACGUCAAAUCAUCAUGCCCCUUAUGAUUUGGGCUACACACGUGCUACAAUGGACAAUACAAAGGGCAGCGAAACCGCGAGGUCAAGCAAAUCCCAUAAAGUUGUUCUCAGUUCGGAUUGUAGUCUGCAACUCGACUACAUGAAGCUGGAAUCGCUAGUAAUCGUAGAUCAGCAUGCUACGGUGAAUACGUUCCCGGGUCUUGUACACACCGC
rnacentral:rRNA from 1 species